UACAGAGGGUGCAAGCGUUAAUCGGAAUUACUGGGCGUAAAGCGUGCGUAGUCGGCUUGUUAAGUCAGUUGUGAAAGCCCCCGGCUCAACUGGGGAGGGUCACGCGAUACUGAUCGACUCGAAGGCAGGAGAGGGUAGUGGAAUUCCCGGUGUAGUGGUGAAAUGCGUAGAUAUCGGGGGGAACACCAGUGGCGAAGGCGACUACCUGGACUGUAUCUGACACUGAGGAACGAAAGCCAGGGGAGCAAACGGG
rnacentral:rRNA from 1 species